CCUACGGGAGGCAGCAGUGGGGAAUCUUGCGCAAUGGGCGAAAGCCUGACGCAGCAACGCCGCGUGCGGGAUGACGGCCUUCGGGUUGUAAACCGCUUUCAGUGGGGACGAACCAAGACGGUACCCACAGAAGAAGCCCCGGCCAACUACGUGCCAGCAGCCGCGGUAACACGUAGGGGGCGAGCGUUGUCCGGAUUUAUUGGGCGUAAAGAGCUCGUAGGCGGUUCGAUAAGUCGGGUGUGAAACCUCCAGGCUCAACCUGGAGACGCCACCCGAUACUGUCGUGACUAGAGUCCAGUAGGGGAGCGUGGAAUUCCUGGUGUAGCGGUGAAAUGCGCAGAUAUCAGGAGGAACACCAGUGGCGAAGGCGGCGCUCUGGGCUGGAACUGACGCUGAGGAGCGAAAGCGUGGGGAGCGAACAGGAUUAGAUACCCUGGUAGUCCACGCCGUAAACGUUGGGUACUAGGUGUGGGGUCUUAUCAACGGAUUCCGUGCCGCAGCUAACGCAUUAAGUACCCCGCCUGGGGAGUACGGCCGCAGGCUAAACUCAAGGAAUUGACGGCNGAGAGNGCGACGACGACGACGAGGAGAG
rnacentral:rRNA from 1 species